CCGAUGGAGGGGGAUAACUACUGGAAACGGUAGCAAUACCGCAUAACGUCGCAAGACCAAAGAGGGGGACCUUGGGCCUCUUGCCAUCGGAUGUGCCCAGAUGGGAUUAGCUAGUAGGUGGGGUAACGGCUCACCUAGGCGACGAUCCCUAGCUGGUCUGAGAGGAUGACCAGCCACACUGGAACUGAGACACGGUCCAG
rnacentral:rRNA from 1 species